UACGGAAGGCAGCAGUGGGGAAUAUUGCACAAUGGGCGCAAGCCUGAUGCAGCCAUGCCGCGUGUAUGAAGAAGGCCCUUCGGGUUGUAAAGUACUUUCAGUCGUGAGGAAGGUGUUAAGGUUAAUAACCUUAGCAAUUGACGUUAGCGACAGAAGAAGCACCGGCUAACUCCGUGCCAGCAGCCGCGGUAAUACGGAGGGUGCGAGCGUUAAUCGGAAUUACUGGGCGUAAAGGGCACGCAGGCGGUUAAUUAAGUUGGAUGUGAAAUCCCCGGGCUUAACCUGGGAAUGGCAUUCAAGACUGGUUAGCUAGAGUCUUGUAGAGGGGGUAGAAUUCCAUGUGUAGCGGUGAAAUGCGUAGAGAUGUGGAGGAAUACCGGUGGCGAAGGCGGCCCCUGGACAAAGACUGACGCUCAUGUGCGAAAGCGUGGGGAGCAAAC
rnacentral:rRNA from 1 species